AUUGAACGCUGGCGGCAGGCCUAAUACAUGCAAGUCGAACGAGUGGCGGACGGGUGAGAUAUGUCUGGGAAACUGCCCGAUGGAGGGGGAUAACUACUGGAAACGGUAGUUAAUACCGCAUACCAUCGGAUGUGCCCAGAUGGGAUUAGCUAGUUGGUGGGGUAACGGCUCACCUAGGCGACGCUCCCUAGCUGGUCUGAGAGGAUGACCAGCCCCACUGGUACUGUGACACGGUCCCAACUCCUACGGGAGGCAGCAGUGGAGAAUAUUGCACAAUGGGCGCAAGCCUGAUGCAGCCAUGCCGCGUGUAUGAAGAAGGCCUUCGGGUUGUAAAGUACUUUCAGCGAGGAGGCGUUACUCGCAGAAGAAGCACCGGCUAACUCCGUGCCAGCAGCCGCGGUAAUAC
rnacentral:rRNA from 1 species